UACGUAGGGGGCUAGCGUUGUCCGGAAUCAUUGGGCGUAAAGAGCGUGUAGGCGGCCCGGUAAGUCCGCUGUGAAAGUCGGGGGCUCAACCCUCGGAUGCCGGUGGAUACUGUCGGGCUUGAGUACGGAAGAGGCGAGUGGAAUUCCUGGUGUAGCGGUGAAAUGCGCAGAUAUCGGGAAGAACACCCAUGGCGAAGGCAGCUCUCUGGGACGGUACUGACGCUGAGACGCGAAAGCGUGGGGAGCAAACAGG
rnacentral:rRNA from 1 species